CAGACCUGUCCUAGAUUGGAGCUCAGACUAAUGACCUUUUUCUGAGUUUGUCACAAACAGUUGGGUCCUUGAAACCUUCUAAAUCUUUGAUUGUGAUCGAGAUAGCCUGAUUUCAAGUGUGCAGUGGAGAGAAAACAGCAGCUGUCUGGGCUGAACGUCUUUCUGUGAAGAGAGGAAGAGGGGACUGCUUUGACAGCUUCUUCCCAGAGCUGGAGUCAGACGCAUGGAUGUGUAAAAGGAGUCAAUGCCUUCUAAUAGUGCAACUGAGAGGAAUUCAGCAGUAAGAUAAAGUAACAACACAGCACUAGAAGCAAUAUAGCCUUUGGCUGGAAGUAAAGGCAAAAAAAAAUGACCUGGGAUAGAGAAGAGCAUUGAUGUGGGGACUGUACAAGGAAACGUGAGAUAAAUUUCUCUCCUCUAAGGGAAUUCUUGUUAUGCUUAAAUAUGGUAUAGAGACAUAUUUUCUCUUGCUAUUUAGCUGAGACUUCUUACCUGCUUUCUUUUUUUUUUUAGUUCAAAUAAACCAAUGCUUUAUCUAU
rnacentral:lncRNA from 1 species